rnacentral:rRNA from 1 species
UACGGAGGGUGCGAACGUUAAUCGGAAUUACUGGGCGUAAAGCGCACGUAGGCGGUUCGCUAAGUGGGAUGUGAAAGCCCGGGGCUCAACCCCGGAAUUGCCUUUAAGACUGCAUCGCUAGAAUCCGGGAGAGGUGAGUGGAAUUCCGAGUGUAGAGGUGAAAUUCGUAGAUAUUCGGAAGAACACCAGUGGCGAAGGCGGCUCACUGGACCGGUAUUGACGCUGAGGUGCGAAAGCGUGGGGAGCAAACAGG